ensembl:rRNA 5S_rRNA 5S ribosomal RNA
UUAUACAGCCGUAUCACCGUGCAGCCCAAGAGCGGUUACUCCCUGAAGAUAUGCAGGGCUGAGCCUGGGCAGUACCUGGAUGGGAGACCACAUGGGAAAAACUAGGUUGCUGAUGUGAU